rnacentral:lncRNA from 1 species
ACCAAAAGUGCCUUAUGUCUGAAGUGUGGUUGCUGCUCUCAAAUUGCUACUAGCCUACUACUGCCCUUCAUCCAAUUGCUACAAGCGUAAUGUGAUUCUCAUCUUCACUAAAUUCAAUGCCUUGCUCAAUCAUGAAUAUAUAUACCAGAAGAACUACUCUAGGGAACAUGACUUCCAUCAUUUCUACCAUCUCUCUCUAGUUGAAAAAAGGUACAAUUACAUUGGGUGACACAUCUGCAGCAGCUUUGGCAACCAUAUACUUCCUCUGCUCUGGGUUGUCAAUACCACGUGAUUCAUAAUCUUCAAUAGCUUUUUCUUCAACCUUGUCUUUUUUUUUUUAGGUACUUGUCAUGUUCUUCUCUAUUAUGUCUUUAUAUAGUUUCAUCAAAUGUUGAAAGACAAACUUGUAGUAAUAAAUGAAUCCCUUACCGUUCUUGAGAUACUCCUCUCCAUAUUCAUUGUAGACAGCUUUAAAGAAUUUGGUUGCUUCUACCUUUCGUUUAACGACAUCAUCUAUAUUUGUUUCUAUGCUCAAAGUCAGAAUAUACUCUUCAAGGUCUGCCCAUAUUCCUUGGUAGGUUUUUGCUCUCUGUGAAAACGUAGGAUAUGCAUGACACAUGAUCUCCCUUAUUUCUUCGUCUGUUAACAGUGAAGGAUGAUAGAAUAAUUACCGAAAUUUGUUCCUACAUGCAAGUGAGAAUGUAAAAACCAAGAUAAUAUGUUGAACUAUUAUUGUUUGUUUACGUUUUUUUAUAUUACUAAACACUUUAAAUGAAAGUGAUUAUGAUUACUGAAAUAUGCAAUUGUUAUGGCAAUUAACGUUCCUAGCUGACUCAGUUAUGUUUUGUUUACUUGCACAUUGUUAUCCACUCUUACUAGCAUCUGUAGGAAAUAUUUGAAUUCUCCAGGAUAAUCGUGUUCCUCUGGAUGCAGCUUCUCGGCCAAGCGAUAUAGGGAUUCUGGGUACAGAGUUUGAUACUCUUCAUGGUUCAAUGUGUACCUUCCUCCGGCAUUUACAACUAUGUUGUCAACGGUUAGUUUGCCUAUUAAGUUUCCAUUUCUCAUCAUGUUGAUACAGUUCCAAAUGGUGUCCUUGCAUUUGUUUUUAAGAGAUCAAAUAACACAGUCAACCAAAAUUGAUUGCAUAAUAUGUAGAUAAAUUAUGAGACUUGUAAUAGGGUAAUAGAAUGAUAUGUUAAUUCUUUAUUAUCUUAUAUAUGUUAUAGGUUCUUGUCCAGAGUGUAGUUUUUUUGUUUAUUGUUUUUGUUUUGUUGAUUUGGUGCAGAUGGUGGUGGUGAUGAUGAGAGAUGUGUGUGGGGUUGGACACAAGAAGGUCUCUUGAGGUUCUGCAGAACUCGUCUCUGAUUUUUGCAGAGGAGAGGAUUCCUAUGAAGGACCCUAUUGGCGAGUUUCAUAAGUACACUGGUGGUUAGAAAAUAUCAGCAAUGAUCAUGACUGGGCUGUGAGUUAUUGUAAUCUUUAUAUUAGUUGCAACAAUCAUUUGUUUAGUGCUAAUUUCAAUUUCACAUUAUUAAGUACUAGAUUGUGUAAUUAAAAAUCUUCCAGUUCUCAUCAACAAAGGCAUGCGUACAUUAUGAUUAUACAUCAAUUAUGUAAGGCGACCGUGAUUGUAAUGCACGUAUCUUCUGUAUGAUAUUGAAAACUACAACUAUUAUCCAACUUUGUCUUCUAUCUUCUGCCUAAGAUUGUAAUGCAAGUCUACUUUUUGUCUACAACAACAGCUAUCAAUGUAAUACGCAAUGAAAUGUGUAAUGCAAUAAGCAGCUAUCAAUGUAAUGCGCAAUGUAAAACAAAUUGUUUUGGAAGAAAGAACAAACAACAGCAACCGAAAGAUUGCAAGAAGAAGUUGGUUUGGUAGUGAUGCACAAUUUACAUCUAUCAAGGUAAUGCACAAUUAAUGUAAGGCCUCGAAAGCUAGUUGCAUACCUGUAUAGUUGGUACACAGCCCUUGGAACCUUGUUCUUCGCAACAAGGUUUUCUGCAAAUGAAUCAUAAUUCUCCGGAUGGGGAAUUAUGUCCUCUCUCAAUGUCAACUGUUUCAUAGAGUAAAUUAAAUCAAUACGUGAAGGUGUUAUAAUGAUAAUGAGAUCAUCUUGGUUAUUAGGAACCUACCAGUUCCCCUGUAAAGACAGGGCAUCCAUACUUGAAUAAAAGGUUCAGACAUGACAUUUUGCAAUAAAUUUUAAUGGGCAGCAUUUCUUGAUUGAUGAUAUGCUCAAUAGUUUUUAACUUCUUUGAAAAAAUAAACAUUACAAUAUUUCAUUCAGUUUUUUUGGAGUUCUGAAGCUUUAAUUAACAGACCAAAAGUGCCUUAUGUCUGAAGUGUGGUUGUUGCUCUCAAAUUGCUACUAGCCUCCUACUGCCCUUCAUCCAAUUGCUACUAGCGUAAUGGAAUUCUCAUCUUCGUUAAAUUCAAGAAAAAAAUUCAGUUUAUUACCCUGAACUUUAGGUCUAAAAUCAGUUUGAUACCUCAUCUUUUUUUUUAAUCAAUUUCAUACCUAAACUUUCAAAAUGACAUCAAUCUCGACCAAAAUGACUAAAAUAGCCCUGAUUAAUCUUUUUACCCUCUCUCUCCCUGCCUCCAAAUCCACCACAUGGCCGGCGCCGGCAUCCACCCCUACCACCAGCAAUGGGCCCCGGCGGCAGCCCCUCCUCCUCCCCCGGCCGUCGCCGCUGCCAUUCUUAACUCUGAGUGGGUAAAAAGAUUAACCAGGGCUAUUUUAGUCAUUUUAGUCGAGAUUGAUGUCAUUUUGAAAGUUUAGGUAUGAAACUGAUUAAAAAAAAGAUGAGGUAUCAAAAUGAUUUUAGACCUAAAGUUCAGGAUAGUAAAAUGAAAUUAUCUCUAAAUUCAAUGCUUUGCUCAAUCAUGAAUAUAUAUACCAAAAGAACUACUCUUGGGAACAUGACUUCUAUCAUUUCUACUAUCUCUCUCCGGUUGAAAAAAUAUACAAUUACAUUGGGUGGCACAUCUGCAGCAGCUUUGGCAACCAUAUAUUUCCUCUGCUCCGGGUUGUCAAUACCACAUGAUUCAUAAUCUUCAAUAACUUUUUCUUCAACCUUGUCUCUUUUUUUUAGGUACUUGUCACGUUCUUCUCUAUUAUGUCUUUAUAUAGUUUCAUUCAAAUGUUGAAAGACAAACCUGUAGUAAUAGAUGAAUCUCUUACCGUUCUUGAGGUACUCCUCUCCAUAUUCAUUGUAGACAACUUUGAAGAAUUUGGCUGCUUCUAUCUUUCGUUUAACGACAUCAUCUAUAUUUGUUUCUAUGCUCAAGGUCGGAAUAUAUUAUUCAAGGUCUGCCCAUAUUCCUUGGUAGGUUUUUGCUCUCUGUGAAAACAUAGGAUAUGCAUGGCACAUGAUCUCCUAUAUUUCUUUGUCUGUUAAUAGUGAAGGAUGAUAGUAUAAUUGCCGAAGUUUGUUCCUGCAUGCAAGUGAGAAUGUGAAAGCCAAGAUAAUAUAUUGAACUAUUAUUGUUUGUUUACGCUUUUUUAUAUUAUGCUAAACACUUUAAAUGAAAGUGAUUAUGAUUAUUGAAAUAUGCAAUUGUUAUGGCAAUUAACGUUCCUAGCUGACUCAGUUAUGUUUUGUUUACUUACACAUCGUUAUCCACUCUUACUAGCAUCUGUAGGAAAUGUUUGAAUUCUCCAGGAUAAUCGUGUUCCUCUGGAUGCAGCUUCUCGACCAAGCGAUAUAGGGAUUCUGGGUACAGAGUUUGAUACUCUUCAUGGUUCAAUGUGUACCUUCCUCCGGCAUUUACAACUAUAUUGUCAACG